GGGGAUGUAGCUCAUCUGGUAGAGCGCGUGCUUAGCAUACCAUCCAUUCUGGAUGUAACAUGUUCAUGCACGAGGUACUGGGUUCGACUCCCAGCUUCUCCA